AUAUAUAUUAUCAACCAUUUCUCUUGUUGAAGUGGUUUGGAUGUGGGGGUUUGCUGGCCUUGUUAAAGGGUUCAGCUCUCCUGAAAUGCAUUAGCAGAACAGCCCUGUUCAUUGGUGUGAUAACUAUCUACGCUAUUGAAUGUGACGGGAAGUUCAGCUUUCUAACAGUCCUUGGACAAUUCAUCAUUA
rnacentral:misc_RNA from 2 species